rnacentral:rRNA from 1 species
AUUGAACGCUGGCGGCAUGCUUUACACAUGCAAGUCGAACGGCAGCGCGGGCUUCGGCCUGGCGGCGAGUGGCGAACGGGUGAGUAAUGCAUCGGAACGUGCCCAGUAGUGGGGGAUAGCCCGGCGAAAGCCGGAUUAAUACCGCAUACGACCUGAGGGUGAAAGCGGGGGACCGAAAGGCCUCGCGUUAUUGGAGCGGCCGAUGUCGGAUUAGCUAGUUGGGGGGGUAAAGGCUUACCAAGGCGCCGAUCCGUAGCUGGUCGGAGAGGGCGACCAGCCACACUGGGACUGAGACACGGCCCAGACUCCUACGGGAGGCAGCAGUGGGGAAUGUUGGACAAUGGGGGCAACCCUGAUCCAGCCAUGCCGCGUGCGGGAAGAAGGCCUUCGGGUUGUAAACCGCUUUUGUUCGGGAAGAAAUCCUCUGGGCUAAUACCCCGGGGGGAUGACGGUACCGGAAGAAUAAGCACCGGCUAACUACGUG